CUGCCCAGCAGAGAGACCCCGCGAAC
rnacentral:rRNA from 1 species